UUAAGUUCUGUCACAGCAGCUUUCUACAUGCUGCUUUUUAUAGAUUGAUGUCCAUUCCUCAUUAGCCAUUUAAGCAACCGGCACAAAUUCAGCUUUGUCUUGCUGGUAAUGCAUAGCCAAACAUAAGCAUACACAAUCAAUUGUACAGUCAAAAUUAUUUUAAAAAAUAAAUAUGCAGAAAAUGUCGCCAAAUACCUAUGAGUGUCGGCUUGUUGUUUAUUUUUGUGCAAAUUUCUAAUCAAGGUAGAAAUAAAAAUAAAUGUAAAAAUGUAUCCAAAAAUAUGAAAUCAUUUAAAAAUCUUAUGGACUCAUGACUUGAAGAACAUUCUUGAAAUAGCUGGUGAUUAUUGUGGAAGUAUAAACGGAGGUUACUAAGAGUUUUUGAUCUAAUUUUGGUAGUUAAGAGACUUACCAGUCACUGGAGAACAUG